CCUACGGGAGGCAGCAGUGGGGAAUAUUGGACAAUGGGCGAAAGCUUGAUCCAGCAAUGCUGCGUGAGUGAUGAAGGCCCUAGGGUUGUAAAGCUUUUUUACCCGGGAUGAUAAUGACGGUACCGGGAGAAUAAGCCCCGGCUAACUCCGUGCCAGCAGCCGCGGUAAU
rnacentral:rRNA from 1 species